AUUAAAAGUUUUACUUCUUUAUUACAGAUGAUAAUUGUUUACCUUAAGCUGCUCAAUCGAAGUCAUAUUCCAAGUGUUUAUUUGGUGCUUUUAAAAUUUAUUUUAGUCCUGCAGUUACUGGACACCACUCGCCGUUGUUAUGUUGAAUAAACGCUCCGUUGUUAUGUCGAAGAAAGUGCUUUUGCACCACAUACUUGUUAAUUGCGUGAUAACGUUGUGUAGUCGUUUAAUUUACUGUAUGGAUUCCGAAGCCAUGUUGAAAUUGUCCGAUUUUCUCCUUAGUUAUGGAGAACAAAUACGAGGAACUGCUCAUGUUUCUGUCUGUUGGGUCCUACCCAUCUGAAUACGAUAAGUCCCAGAGGCAAACCCUUAGGAGAUACGCCGCAAAAUUCAGGCUGAAGGGCGGAGUGCUCUUGUUUGGAAACAGGAGAGUGAUAAAAACAAAAGAAGAAGCCAUGGGACUAUUUCAAGAGUUUCAUUCAAGUCCCAUCGGUGGACACACUGGUGUACUUAAGACUCGAACUGCAAUGUGUUCCAGAUUUUACUGGUAUGGAAUGUCGGUUGACAUUGGGAAUUGGGUAUGUAUUUUUAAAGUUGUCAUUUAUAUAUAGUAUGUUAAUAGUGCACCAAUAGAAUGCAUAGUUAUCCUGAAGACCUGUACCAGAUUGAUGUACAGUAAUUAACACUGUAUCGCCACUUGAUCAAGUAUUUUUAUAGAACAUUUGCAAUUUUGUUGUUUAAUUAAUUGCGAUUGUUGGAUAAUAUAAAGAUCAUUCAAUAUGUUUAAGGUCCUGGCUAUUGACCAGUGUCAAAAAAUGGGAAAACCAUUGGCUGCUGUGCAACCACUGCAGUGUAUAAAGGUGUCACAUGUCUGGGAGCUAAUCGGAAUAGAUCUAACUGGACCUCUUCCAAAGACGUCUAGUGGCUUCCAGUACAUUAUGACUGCAACAGACUAUUUUUCAAAAUGGGUUGAGGCUUUUCCAUUAAAAAGCAAAAGUGCUGCUGAGGUAGCUCAUCAGUUGUGCUCACUCAUAUAUAGACAUGGCUCCCAAAACGAAUUUUAUCCGACCAAGGAAGGGAAUUUGUUAACGAGCUCAACUCAAGACUUUGCAGCUUAAUGAAAAUAGAUAGAAGUGUCACAGCAGCGUAUCACCCUCAGACAAAUGGCCUCGACGAAAAGACAAAUGACAACAUAAAAAGAU